UUGGACAGUCCCUUGGUGAAGUGAGGACUCAGGCAUGAGUGUGACCAUCGGUUGUACUUACUAGAAAGAAAUCAUCUGAGACCCAGUCUUGUGCAUCGGUUAGGCCUCCACUCCACUACAUGAUGUGAUGGAUGACUCAUGUGCUACAUGCAAAAUGCAUUUCUCUCCACAGCAGAGCAGCCUGAGCUAGACAGCUAGUCUUGCUUGUUAUGCACUGGGUUACCAAAUUGAGUUGUAAAAAUGGCAGAUGGACCACAACUUCCAUCUGUAAUCCAGAAGAUAAGAGUGCAACCUUACCUCUCCAUCAUGCAGUUUCCUAACCAUCAAGCCUGGACUUCAAGCUUACAAAACCUUCCCAGAGCUGGCGGAUAUGCGAUUGACAGAUUGCACAAAACUUUGCUGCCAGCAUAUGCUGGCUCUGCCUCCUAUCUUGCUUCACCUCUGCUAACAGUAUUUGUAGGAGCUCCACUGGAAAAGCAUAAGUCUGCUUCUCCAUCUCAUUUAUUUUGGGGAACAUUCCAUGUUCUUUUUGGGGUGGCAACUGCUCCAAUUGGGAGAGUGAAACUCCUGAUCCAGUGCCAAGAUGAGAUGAUCAAGUCAAGUAGACUGCCUAAGCCUUAUAAAGGAAUUGUGAACUGCUUCGCCAGAACAAUCAGUAAUGAGGCUUGGCAGUAGAAAAUUUUGCUGAUUUAGCAACUCAUGUUGUUGUUUAUCCCCUGGAUUAUGCCCAGACUCGCCUAGCCAAUGAUAUCAAGACAAACAAUAAGAUUGAAGAAAGGCAAUUCAAAGGUUUAAUUGAUGUCUACAAAAAAACUAUAAGAUGAGAUGGCAUUGCUGGACUGUACCGUGGAUGUGCUAUCUCAUGUUUUAAAAGCUUUUUAAGUUGUGGGGUCUACAUUGGCAUACAUGUUUUCUUCAGGCCGGUUCUGUUACUCAGCCUGCUCCAGUUGCAGAAAGACUUCUUGGCUGCAUCAGUAAUGGCAGUGGGAGUCGUAGUUUGUCAAAAGAUGGCAACUUACCCAUUGGACACUGUAAAUAGGGAGGAUGAUGAUGACCUCUGGAGAAGUUGUUAAGUAUCAGAGUUCAAUACAUGCAUUUGCAGAGAUUAUCAGGAAUGAGGGUGUUAAGUCCCUUUAUAAGGGUGGAGGUGCAUGCAUCCUCGAAACAAUAACUUUAGCUGCUAUUUUGACUGUUUUUAGCAGAAGAAUGUGGAAUUAUUUGUCCACAAAGAAGUCUAAUUCUGCUGCUAAUGGUGUGUCCGCAAAGAGGAAUGGAUCGGCUGGUGGUGGUCAAUCUGCAUCAACUCUCGUCAUUAAAUGGACAUAUGGUAAGAAUGACUAGGGGCAAUAGUGGUGGAGGCCCCCGCAGAAAUUUCACUUCUUUGCAAUUAUAGUUCAGUUGACAGUCUGAGAAAGGUCUUCUGUAAUCUAAUAUUAUAGGUAGUAAAAACAAUAGUACUUAGGUUUAUGAGUCUGGGUGGAACCUCUUCCCCGUUGUAAACAAAUGAGUUUGUAUUGUGCUGACUUCUAAAAAUUGGAUACUCAAAUUACCAUCACUUGAAAUCGAUACAUUUACUGGAAGCUUAA